rnacentral:rRNA from 1 species
AUUGAACGCUGGCGGCAGGCUUAACACAUGCAAGUCGAGCGGAGAUGAGGUGCUUGCACCUUAUCUUAGCGGCGGACGGGUGAGUAAUGCUUAGGAAUCUGCCUAUUAGUGGGGGACAACAUUCCGAAAGGGAUGCUAAUACCGCAUACGUCCUACGGGAGAAAGCAGGGGAUCUUCGGACCUUGCGCUAACAGAUGAGCCUAAGUCGGAUUAGCUAGUUGGUGGGGUAAAGGCCUACCAAGGCGACGAUCUGUAGCGGGUCUGAGAGGAUGAUCCGCCACACUGGGACUGAGACACGGCCCAGACUCCUACGGGAGGCAGCAGUGGGGAAUAUUGGACAAUGGGGGGAACCCUGAUCCAGCCAUGCCGCGUGUGUGAAGAAGGCCUUAUGGUUGUAAAGCACUUUAAGCGAGGAGGAGGCUACUGAGACUAAUACUCUUGGAUAGUGGACGUUACUCGCAGAAUAAGCACCGGCUAACUCUGUGCCAGCCGCCGCGGUAAAAC